UACAGAGGUCCCAAGCGUUGUUCGGAUUCACUGGGCGUAAAGGGUGCGUAGGCGGUCGGGUAAGUCUGACGUGAAAGCCCCGGGCUCAACCCGGGAAUAGCGCUUGAGACUGGGGGGCUUGAGUUCGGGAGAGGAGAGUGGAAUUCCCAGUGUAGAGGUGAAAUUCGUAGAUAUUGGGAAGAACACCGGUGGCGAAGGCGGCUCUCUGGACCGACACUGACGCUGAGGCGCGAAAGCGUGGGGAGCAAACAGG
rnacentral:rRNA from 1 species